rnacentral:rRNA from 1 species
UACGUAGGGACCAAGCGUUGUUCGGAUUCACUGGGCGUAAAGGGUGCGUAGGCGGUCGGGUAAGUCUGAUGUGAAAUCUCACAGCUUAACUGUGAAACUGCAUUGGAUACUAUCCGGCUCGAGGAAUGGAGGGGAGACUGGAAUACUUGGUGUAGCAGUGAAAUGCGUAGAUAUCAAGUGGAACACCAGUGGCGAAGGCGGGUCUCUGGGCCGUUACUGACGCUGAGGAGCGAAAGCGUGGGGAGCGAACAGG